UAUCAAGGGAGGUACAGGAUAAGAGAAAGUGAGAAUGCUGAGGAACCUGGCCAGACCAGCUUACCUUCAUGAAGCUCCAGCUUCUUACAUGGGAUGGCAACAUUUGGAAAGUAACCUGCUAUGAACACAGAAUCCCCGCCUAAAAUGCAACCUAAAGAAUGGAGAAAAGUGGAGCUGUCCUCUUCCCUGAUGCCUCUUUGGAUGCUCCUAAUCCUUCUGAUGUCUGUGCCAGCCCAGAAACACAGAAGGAAGCAGAAAGCUCUUCAGGAGAGGUCACUUGGCAACCUGUCCCAUGCAGCCAACGAUGCCAGCUGUUCUCAGACUCAUCGAACAACACAACUCCAAGGCUUUUGUCUUCUCCUCUGAGAGUGCUGUGGUAGGAUGCGACAUGCUCACUGCAGGCUGUCCUCAUGGCCACACCUGUCCCUGCCCUCAUCCCUGAGCUGUCCUACCCCAGAGCUUGGCUGUGUCUGCUGGAAGGGUCACCAGCAUCCAACUGUUCUAAUUUAAAACAAUGGCAAUCACAGUCUUAACUAAGCACUCUUAGAAAGCAAGACAAAUCAGGCGUGAAGGAAAUAACCACAAUUAAAAAAAAACCCUACAAAUCUUAAGCAACAUUAUAGUUUUUUUCUCAAUUUGACAUGCUUAAGGUUACUUCUUUUCAUAUGUAUAAGACAUUACUGAAUUUUUAGACCAAUAUAUCAUAGUAUGAGAACACAAUCCCACAAGGCAACUCAGCAUGUCUCUUCUGCCACCUGCCAGUUCUGUCAGCUACUCUGAGCAGUUCACCGCAUCUUCCAGUAGGAAAUGAUAACAUGCCAUCAUUUAUGCUCAAAUGAUACUCCUUUUAACCAAGAUCGAGUAAACAAGCUCUGAAGUACUCCAUUAAAGCUAUCCAGAAUUUCUAUAGUAGAUUCACUUGAAUUAAACAAUAUAUACAAAGCACUUGUUAAUUGAAAAGAGACAAUACAAUGAAUUCUCAGAUCCGUAUUUGAAAUUCAUGUCAUUUCGCUUAUCUCUCUGCCAUACAGUUCCUAAUACGGUGAAUUUUUUUUGUAAUAGUUAACACUGAAGAGAUUAAUCUCGACUCUGCUGAAGAAAGCAGAGUAAACAUUACCAUUAAUACGGGUGUUAGUUCUCUAAAGAGUGCACUCCUAAAUUCUGUAAAGAGGCACGUGCAGCUAAUUCUGUUUUCCUUCCAGAGUUUCAUACAGAUCACGUCAAAACUAGCUACCUUGAGUACUGGCCUACCAAGUGGAAAAAAAAAACAGAACUCAUGAAAGUUUUCUUUCUUUCUCUUCUUGCUACAUGAACCUCCAGUUUUCAAAAUUAAUAAACAAUAACUGCCAGAUCA
rnacentral:lncRNA from 1 species